CCACGGGUGGCAGCAGUGGGGAAUAUUGGACAAUGGGCGAAAGCCUGAUCCAGCCAUGCCGCGUGUGUGAAGAAGGCCUUCGGGUUGUAAAGCACUUUCAGUGGGGAAGAAAGCCUUGGGGCUAAUACCCUCGAGGAAGGACAUCACCCACAGAAGAAGCACCGGCUAACUCCGUGCCAGCAGCCGCGGUAAUACGGAGGGUGCGAGCGUUAAUCGGAAUUACUGGGCGUAAAGCGCGCGUAGGCGGUCUGAUAAGCCGGUUGUGAAAGCCCCGGGCUCAACCUGGGAACGGCAUCCGGAACUGUCAGGCUAGAGUGCAGGAGAGGAAGGUAGAAUUCCCGGUGUAGCGGUGAAAUGCGUAGAGAUCGGGAGGAAUACCAGUGGCGAAGGCGGCCUUCUGGACUGACACUGACGCUGAGGUGCGAAAGCGUGGGUAGCAAACAGGAUUAGAUACCCGUGUAGUC
rnacentral:rRNA from 1 species